UUGUGAUGAGACCUAAACUGAAAAAGCUGGAAUUACCGUCAGAUGGUUCAGUGUUGACUUUUGGUUUCCUGAAC
ensembl:snoRNA Small nucleolar RNA SNORD65